rnacentral:misc_RNA from 1 species
UUAAGUUCAGCGGGUAGUCCUACCUGAUUUGAGGUCAAACUUGUUUGUUGUAUUGUAAGGCCGAGCCAAUAAUACCAAAAAUUUACUACUAAACCAUUCAACGAGUUGGAUAAACCUAAUACAUUGAAAAAGUCUUGAAGCACUAUUCAGUACUACUCAUGCCGAUACAUUUCAAGCAAACGCCUAGUUCGACUAAGAGU